UACGGAGGGGGCUAGCGUUGUUCGGAAUUACUGGGCGUAAAGCGCACGUAGGCGGCUUUGUAAGUUAGAGGUGAAAGCCCGGGGCUCAACUCCGGAAUUGCCUUUAAGACUGCAUCGCUAGAAUUGUGGAGAGGUAAGUGGAAUUCCGAGUGUAGAGGUGAAAUUCGCAGAUAUUCGGAGGAAUACCAGUGGCGCAAGCGGCUAACUGGACGGGCACUGACGCUGAGACACGAAAGCGUGGGGAUCAAACAGG
rnacentral:rRNA from 1 species